rnacentral:rRNA from 1 species
UACAGAGGGUGCGAGCGUUGUCCGGAAUCACUGGGCGUAAAGGGCGCGUAGGCGGCCUGAUAAGUAGGGGGGUGAAAAUCCUGUGGCUUAACUGCAGGGGCUGCCUCCUAGACUGUUAGGCUCGAGCACGGUAGAGGCAGAUGGAAUUCCCCGGUGUAGCGGUGGAAUGCGUAGAGAUCGGGGAAGAACAUCGGUGGCGAAGGCGGUCUC